CAGGCAGGCGGGCCAGAGGCGGGGAGCCCUCAAAGCACCGGCUCGGAGCGGGUCGAACGCUAUGCACACUUUUCAUUCUUGAGAACCCCAAGGAACAAAAUGUUAUUGGCAUCCUCUCCAGCAACAAAGAACAGCUGCAUCUGUUUGGGACAUUUCCCAGGCCGCUCCUUCCUCCAUGUGUGAAGGAUACCGUUGAUCUGUUGACCCAGCCCUGAAGAGGGAGCUUGGAUUCUCACCAGCCUUCUUUGCCAGCACUCAGGCAGCUGCUGGGUAUGCCAGAACCAGAGGAUAAAGAUGGAAAGACAAGAACUGCUGGGGCCAUUUUGCUGCUAGGAUGGAAAGAGCUCAAGGAGGAAGCCAAUGCGAAGAGAAGUGUGCAGCUAAGUGGAUCCCAGUCUGAGGUCUGGAGAAGGAGGUCCCGAAGAGAGAAGGAGAUUCAUUGCUUGAGGUCGCACAGAGCUCAAGGCAGAGUUGGGAAGAAAACUCUGUACCCACCAUGUCACCCAGGUCACUUUGCCAAUUAACCACUGGCCACGGCACUGAAGCUCCCACGUUCCCUCACUUCCCUCCAGAGGGCAGAUGCCAUCAUUAUUGCCAUUUUUCCAGAAGGAGGAAAGAGCUGUACCAAAGAGCUUAAGUCACGUAUUCUCGGACUGUGUGUGGGAUGAUUGAAGAUCUUUCAGCAGACACUUCGGUGUGACCUGUGAAGAAGCAGCGGUGUCCCCCGAGCCCCCCUUCCCAGUCUUGCUGGCUGGGCCUGCCGUCAGAGUUCGGUUCUGUCUGCCUGGAAGCUAUCCUCUCAUGCGAGGUGCUCGCCGGAGUGCUUGAGGAUGGAGCAGGGCCAGGCCAAGCUUGCAAAACAGAUUUAAGGCGAGGGUUUUGUGCCUGCUUGGCGAUAGUGCUGCUUGUUUAGCAGAAUUUGAUCUCAGACUUGCUGCCAUGGUAACGGGCACCUGUCAGUGAGCUUGUGCAGGGCUGCCUUACCUCUGAUCUCCAGAGAUUGCUAUUGUCUCCCAGAAGCCGUGACAAUUGCCUAACUACCCCACAGCCGAGGGCAGCUUGAAACUGCCCCAGGUCACAUGGCUGCUAGGUGGCAGUGCUCACAUAAAAGAUGUCAGCAAGGCACUCAUCUUUCAUUUUUUAUUUACUUAUUAAAUAAAAGGUAUUAGCACGGCACACUGCCACUCUGUCAGAGGAGGUGCACACAGGCCAGCAGGGUCCUGGCGAGGGGGCAGGGCUUUUGGGCAAAGGGCAGAACUAGAGACAGUAGUUGUUUUAAGAGGAGAGAUUCCUUCGAGUCAGGAAAGGGGGUGAUGGCAUGAAGGCCUAGAAUUAGGCACCUCUAAUUCUAGAGGUGGAGGGAGGAGAAGCUUCUGCCUGGUGGCUCGCGUUUCCUUGGUGACGCGGAGAUCCAGGACUCGGGUUGAAGUAAAGGGGGUGGGAUUGGUAGAGGGCUUAAGUUCAGCGGCGACUGGACACAGUGCCUUUUGUUCGCCUCGUUCACAGUCGUCUGGGAAGCAGGGCUAUCCGGGACCAGGAGGGUAGAGCUUCUCUGAAGAGAAGCCUAGGAGGCUGAGCAUAGAUGGCCCUAGGGUCUAGGUAGAGCGUUUGUCCUGACCCCUGGCACCUAUUAAGAUGUCCAGGUCAUUCAAUAGGAGGCCAAGGAUCCCUGCCCGUCCUUCUCAUGAUCAGUGAGAAGAAGGACAAAGCACAGGCUGAGGGACCAAGUAGCCAGAGACACUUGCUCAGCAGGGCUCAGCGAGUCUGGAAGGGGAAGAUGAUGGGGCAUUUUCCAGUCUCUUCCGAAAGUGCAUGGGAGUUUUGGAUGCGCGUCUUGAAUUUUAAGACUCCCUGAGGUCAAAGAGGAGGACAGUCAGUUCUGGAGGAGAUUAAAUGGCUUUGCCUUUUGUUUCUCUGCAAGAGCUGAUGAAUAAUUCAAGGCAAUGGUGAGGAAGUGGGCUCUGUAGGACAGGCCAGCUUGGAGCAGGUUCAUCCUGGUGGGUUGCCGUGGGACUGAGCUCUGUCUCCAUCUUGUAUGCUCCUCAGCCUCCCUGGCCCUGAGCCCACAUGGCUCCCGUGGAGCCGUGCUCCCUUUCAGCCAAGGGGAUGAAUGUCUGCUACAGAAAGGCCCUGGAAGAACUUCAAAACUCAGGCAGAGACAAGCAGGCGUGAAGAGGCCAGCUGCCUUCCUCUCGGGCAUUUGCUUUGUACUGCGAGGACCAAUGAGGGGCACUGCUAAGGGACGGGGAGAGGUGAGAAAGUGGGUUGGCCGGCUGGGGAGUCCCACAGGCCUGCUGGACCUUGCUCCUGCCUGCCCAUGUGUGGCCACGGGCUUCUUUCUCUACUCAGCUGGAGACAGUCUGUCCGGGACGGACAAAAUGCACCUUUUAAGUAGCCCUUCCCCCCAGGACUCACCUUUGAUCUCAAUUUGCUGGUUCCCGUUUAAAGGAGUAGAUGUCAAGAGCCCUCCAAUGCAGCAGAUGCCCACCUCCAGCUGGAACUGAAUUUACACACCAGUAAAUCAGAGAGUUAAUAAUCAAACUGUCUGGAUUUUGCCUUCAAAUUCGGCCAUCAGUGUAUUCUUAUUGUAUCCUGUAGCACCUAAAAAUACCUUUGAGGCACUUUAAGUACACAAAACACCACACUGCUUGUCUUUGUUAAGAGUGGC